UAUACUAAGUAACCCAUAUGUUGAGGAGGCGGUGACUGUGGCCGUGAAGGAGGAGGAUGAGGUAGCCAACACUGUUUAUAUAUAUAUAUAUAUAUAUAUAUAUAAAUAUAUAUAUAUAUAUAUAUAUAUUUUUUUUUAUUUUUUUUUAAUUGGGGCAACCCCCAAAAUAUUGGGACAUAUAAAAAAGGACAACUCUGUUCUGCAGAGUAGCUGUGACAUUAUAGUUGCGCAGGAACUUUGUUGACUCUAGAGAACCUCGGGCAAAUCGCACAUCCCCGUGGCGGCGACUUUGCAUGCGGAUGUCAUCCAUAUCAACUUUCUAUGCCAGUUUCUGUGCCUACCAUGGUGACCACGGGUUACGGGGAAUCAGGGUUCUAUUCUGUACAGGGACCCUGAGAAACGGCUACCACAUGCAAGGAAGGCAGCAGGCGCGCAAAUGACCCACUCCAGACGCGGGAAGGUAGUGAUGACAAAUAACAAUACAGGACUCUUUAGAGGUACUUGGAAUCCUUUAACUCUGAUCAAUUGGAGGGAAGUCUGGUGCAAAGCCACUGACCCGUGCUUGCUGCAGCUGAAACUCCACUCUCG